UACCAGCACCCCGAGUGGUCGGGACGUUUAUUGGGCCUAAAGCAUCCGUAGCCUGUUCUGCAAGUCUUCCGUUAAAUCCACCUGCUUAACAGAUGGGCCGCGGAAGAUACUAUAGAGCUAGGAGGCGGGAGAGGCAAGCGGUACUCGAUGGGUAGGGGUAAAAUCCGUUGAUCCAUUGAAGACCACCAGUGGCGAAGGCGGCUUGCCAGAACGCGCUCGACGGUGAGGGAUGAAAGCUGGGGGAGCAAACCGG
rnacentral:rRNA from 1 species